CCAGAGAGACCACAGUUGGCUGCGUGAGAGUCCCAGAACAGGAAAUGCAACAGCAGCCAGCACGCUGGCCCCAGAGUUCACUGAGCUCCAGGCUUACUUUCGCUGGGCAGCCUGGGCAAGUCAGACUCUUGGGGUUUCCAUCUGUAAAGCAGAUGCGGCAGUAAGAUAGGAGUGGAAGCCGGGGCCACAGCUUCCACGCCGAGACCUCUGUAAUAACGCAACCCAGAUGUGUGUUGUGAUAGUCUAGGCACUGUUUGGGCUUGUUUGACCUUCUCCAGACCAUUUUAAGUGGAUGCAACUGUCAUUGUCAUUAUACUCCUGGGGACAGUGCUCAGCUGCUGCUUCAAGAUACCCGCAGAGAAGCCGCUGAGCUAUUCCAGAGACUACGCCCUAUUCUGAACAUCAUCACCUGCAGCUGGUUCCAGGCUCCAAGGAUGAAUUGGCGGAAUGGACUUUUCUCCCCUUUUCUUUAUAAGGCGUGUUCCCCGACAUUAAAGUUGAACCUUGAGAAGAC
rnacentral:lncRNA from 1 species